rnacentral:rRNA from 1 species
UACGGAGGGGGCUAGCGUUGUUCGGAAUUACUGGGCGUAAAGCGCACGUAGGCGGACUGUUAAGUCGGGGGUGAAAUCCUGGGGCUCAACCUCAGAAUUGCCUCCGAUACUGGCAGUCUCGAGUGCGGGAGAGGUGAGUGGAAUUCCCAGUGUAGAGGUGAAAUUCGUAGAUAUUCGGAAGAACACCAGUGGCGAAGGCGGAC